GCGAGUGAAAGAGCAGGACUGAGAGGAGGAGGAGGCCUCGGAGGGCAUCGGGCAUCCACGGAGAAGCUGUAAGAUAAACUUUCGUGCUAGUGAAUCAUCAAAUUUGUUUCGUUAUAAUUCCGUUAUCGUAAAAUAAUAAAAUAUGCGUCGAGAAUGCCGUUAAUGUCGAGAGUUAUAGCGAAUCUAUAGAUGAACGCAUUUUUGCUGUAUGACAAAUAUUGGGACACGAUUUUUUUUUACUUUAGGCUUGGCUCGGGGGAGGGAAAGGUCGGUUUCAAUCAUAAAAUCUCGACUACGGCAGGGCAAUCUUCGGUUCUACGUGCAGCGCGCUAGUUGUACAGAUAGCCGGACUGUCGAAGGUAGUCGAGGACGGCUACCGGAGUUAGUCAAACGCUACCGAUUGCUUUUUCAGAUGCCUUGUAUCUAGUCGGUUGAUUGGAUGACUAAUCACCUCAUCUUCUUCGAGCUUAUCUUUGCCUUCUGUUUUGAGAGAAUCGUGCCCCAAUUGGUAAAUGUGGUCGUCUGAAACACGGACGGAAUUCGCGCGUAACGUCACAGCUUGGACAAUUCGGUUCGAUUCGCCUGUGAUGUCGGGAGUGCCGUUUUAAGUAUCGCGCGAUUUUCGUAUUCAGGUACGCAUGCGAGCAAUGCAUGCGCCGCGAACGCGUGUGAUUCAAUGUGAGUGCUUCGAAGGACCACUGAGAGGAGGAGGAGGCUCAGGAGGAGCAUCGGGCGCCGGCGGAGCAACUUUACGAUCAACUUUGUGCGCGUAAUCGG